rnacentral:rRNA from 1 species
UCGUUUCGCACCUUCGGGGUGAGCGGCGGACGGGUGAGUAACGCGUGGGAAUAUGCCCUUUGGUACGGAAUAGUCCUGGGAAACUGGGGGUAAUACCGUAUGCGCCCUUCGGGGGAAAGAUUUAUCGCCAAAGGAUUAGCCCGCGUUGGAUUAGGUAGUUGGUGGGGUAAUGGCCUACCAAGCCGACGAUCCAUAGCUGGUUUGAGAGGAUGAUCAGCCACACUGGGACUGAGACACGGCCCAGACUCCUACGGGAGGCAGCAGUGGGGAAUCUUAGACAAUGGGGGCAACCCUGAUCUAGCCAUGCCGCGUGAGUGAUGAAGGCCCUAGGGUUGUAAAGCUCUUUCAGCUGGGAAGAUAAUGACGGUACCAGCAGAAGAAGCCCCGGCUAACUCCGUGCCAGCAGCCGCGGUAAUACGGAGGGGGCUAGCGUUGUUCGGAAUUACUGGGCGUAAAGCGCACGUAGGCGGACCGGAAAGUUGGGGGUGAAAUCCCGGGGCUCAACCCCGGAACUGCCUUCAAAACUAUCGGUCUGGAU